rnacentral:rRNA from 1 species
AACGCAGCGAAGGGCGAUAAGUAAUGUGAAUUGCAGAAUUCAGUGAAUCAUCGAAUCUUUGAACGCACAUUGCGCCCCCCUGGUAUUCCGGGGGGGCAUGCCCGUUCGAGCGUCCCUACGCCCUCAAGCCUGGCUUGGUUUUGAGCGUCGGCAUGGCGCCGCGCUGUAAUCCGUUAGCGGGACGCGCCGUAUUUCCUUGCGACUUGGUAACCCCAGUGGUCCCCCGCGGCCACCGCUUGGAUCCGGCCGUCUGCUGCUCCCUGUUACUCAUCGGUGACUCGGACCGAAACAGGUUGACCUCGAAUCGGGUAGGGAUACCCGCUGAACUUAA